rnacentral:rRNA from 1 species
UGGGGAAUAUUGCACAAUGGAGGGAACUCUGAUGCAGCGACGCCGCGUGAACGAAGAAGGCUUUCGAGUCGUAAAGUUCUUUUAUAUGGGAAGAUAAUGACGGUACCAUAAGAAGAAGCCCCGGCUAACUACGUGCCAGCAGCCGCGGUAAUACGUAGGGGGCUAGCGUUGUCCGGAAUCACUGGGCGUAAAGGGUUCGCAGGCGGAAAUGCAAGUCAGGUGUAAAAGGCAGUAGCUUAACUACUGUAAGCAUUUGAAACUGCAUAUCUUGAGAAGUGUAGAGGUAAGUGGAAUUUUUAGUGUAGCGGUGAAAUGCGUAGAUAUUAAAAAGAAUACCGGUGGCGAAGGCGACUUACUGGGCUCAUUCUGACGCUGAGGAACGAAAGCGUGGGUAGCAAACAGG